rnacentral:rRNA from 1 species
AACGAACGCUGGCGGCAUGCCUAACACAUGCGAGUCGAACGAGACCUUCGGGUCUAGUGGCGCACGGGUGCGUAACGCGUGGGAACCUUCCCUUAGGUUCGGAAUAACUCCCCUAAAGGGGUGCUAAUACCGGAUAAUUUCUUCGGACCAAAUAUUUAUCGCCUUUGGAUGGGCCCGCGUUGGAUUAGCUAGUUGGUAGGGUAAAAGCCUACCAAGGCGACGAUCCAUAGCUGGUCUGAGAGGAUGAUCAGCCACACUGGGACUGAGACACGGCCCAGACUCCUACGGGAGGCAGCAGUGGGGAAUAUUGGACAAUGGGCGAAAGCCUGAUCCAGCAAUGCCGCGUGAGUGAUGAAGGCCUUAGGGUUGUAAAGCUCUUUUACCCGGGAUGAUAAUGACAGUACCGGGAGAAUAAGCGCCGGCUAACUCCGUG